rnacentral:rRNA from 1 species
AUUGAACGCUGGCGGCAGGCCUAACACAUGCAAGUCGAACGAGUGGCGGACGGGUGAGUAAUGUAUGGGAAACUGCCCGAUGGAGGGGGAUAACUACUGGAAACGGUAGCUAAUACCGCAUACCAUCGGAUGUGCCCAGACGGGAUUAGCUGGUAGGUGAGGUAACGGCUCACCUAGGCGACGAUCCCUAGCGGGUCUGAGAGGAUGCCCAGCCAACCGGGGAAUGAGAAACGGUCCAGACUCCUACGUGAGGCAGCAGUGGGGAAGAUUGCACAAUGGUCGCAAGCCGGAUGGAGCAAGGCAGCGUAGAUGAAGAAGGCCUUCGGAUUGUAAACUACUUUCAGCGGGGAUGCGUUACCCACAGAAGAAGCACCGGCUAACUCCGUGCCAGCAGCCGCGGUAAUAC